rnacentral:rRNA from 1 species
CCUACGGGAGUCAGCAGUGAGGAAUAUUUGUCAAUGGACGCAAGUCUGAACCAGUCAUGCCGCGUGCAGGAAGACGGCUCUAUGAGUUGUCAACUGCUUUUGUACGAGGGUAAACGCAGAUACGCGUAUCUGUCUGAAAGUAUCGUACGAAUAAGGAUCGGCUAACUCCGUGCUAGCAGCCGCGGUAAUACGGAGGAUUCAAGCGUUAUCCGGAUUUAUUGGGUUUAAAGGGUGCGUAGGCGGUCGGAUAAGUUAGAGGUGAAAUCCCGAGGCUCAACUUCGGAAUUGCCUCUGAUACUGUUCGGCUAGAGAGUAGUUGCGGUAGGCGGAAUGUAUGGUGUAGCGGUGAAAUGCUUAGAGAUCAUACAGAACACCGAUUGCGAAGGCAGCUUACCAAGCUACUUCUGACGUUGAGGCACGAAAGCGUGGGGAGCAAACAGGAUUAGAUACCCGAGUAGUC